rnacentral:rRNA from 1 species
UACAGAGGUCCCAAGCGUUGUUCGGAUUCACUGGGCGUAAAGCGCACGUAGGCGGAUUGUUAAGUCAGGGGUGAAAUCCUGGAGCUCAACUCCAGAACUGCCUUUGAUACUGGCGAUCUCGAGUCCGGGAGAGGUGAGUGGAACUGCGAGUGUAGAGGUGAAAUUCGUAGAUAUUCGCAAGAACACCAGUGGCGAAGGCGGCUCACUGGCCCGGUACUGACGCUGAGGUGCGAAAGCAUGGGGAGCGAACAGG